rnacentral:rRNA from 1 species
CGGAGGGAUCAUUGCUGGAACGCGCUUCGGCGCACCCAGAAACCCUUUGUGAACUUAUACCUUACUGUUGCCUCGGCGCAGGCCGGCCUCACUGAGGCCCCUCGGAAACGAGGAGCAGCCCGCCGGCGGCCAACCAAACUCUUGUUUCUUAGUGAAUCUCUGAGUAAAAAACAUAAAUGAAUCAAAACUUUCAACAACGGAUCUCUUGGUUCUGGCAUCGAUGAAGAACGCAGCGAAAUGCGAUAAGUAAUGUGAAUUGCAGAAUUCAGUGAAUCAUCGAAUCUUUGAACGCACAUUGCGCCCUCUGGUAUUCCGGAGGGCAUGCCUGUUCGAGCGUCAUUUCAACCCUCAAGCAUUGCUUGGUGUUGGGGCACCGCCUGUAAAAGGGCGGGCCCUGAAAUCUAGUGGCGAGCUCGCCAGGACCCCGAGCGUAGUAAUUAUAUUUCGUUCUGGAAGGCCCUGGCGGUGCCCUGCCGUUAAACCCCCAACUUCUGAAAAUUUGACCUCGGAUCAGGUAGGAAUACCCGCUGAACUUAAGCAUAUCAAUAAGCGGAGGAAAAGAAACCAACAGGGAUUGCCCUAGUAACGGCGAGUGAAGCGGCAACAGCUCAAAUUUGAAAUCUGGCUUCGGCCCGAGUUGUAAUUUGCAGAGGAUGUUUCUGGCGCGGUGCCUUCCGAGUUCCCUGGAACGGGACGCCACAGAGGGUGAGAGCCCCGUAUGGUUGGACACCAAGCCUGUGUGAAACUCCUUCAACGAGUCGAGUAGUUUGGGAAUGCUGCUCUAAAUGGGAGGUAAAUCUCUUCUAAAGCUAAAUACCGGCCAGA